GUGUACGCGUGAGAUGAUGAAGGCUUAGGGUUGUAAAGCUCUUUCGCACGCGACGAUAAUGACGGUAGCGUGAGAAGAAGCCCGGCUAACUUCGUGCCAGCAGCCGGGUAAUACGAAGGGGGCUAGCGUUGUUCGGAAUUACUGGGCGUAAAGGGCGCGUAGGCGGCCUGUUUAGUCAGAAGUGAAAGCCCCGGGCUCAACCUGGGAAUAGCUUUUGAUACUGGCAGGCUUGAGAUCCGGGAGAGGAUGGUGGAAUUCCCAGUGUAGAGGUGAAAUUCGGUAGAUAUUGGGAAGAACACCGGUGGCGAAGGCGGCCAUUCUGGACGGACCACUGACGCUAAGGCCAAAAGCGUGGGGAGCACAGGUUAAAUUCCCUUGUAGUUCACCCCGUAAGAUGAUUGCUAGCCGUGAGGAGCAUGCCUACGGGUGUCACGUUAACGCAUUAAGCAUUCCGACCGGGGAGUCGGGCCGGAAAGGUUUACAACUCAAAAGGGAAUUGACGAGAGGCCCUGCAACCAAGCGGUGUGAAGCAUUUGUUGGUUAUAAAUAACAAAAAGC
rnacentral:rRNA from 1 species